rnacentral:rRNA from 1 species
GCCCUUAUGGGCUGGGCUACACACGUGCUACAAUGGCGGUGACAGAGGGGAGCGAGACCGCGAGGUGGAGCCAAUCCCCAAAAACCGUCUCAGUUCGGAUUGUACUCUGCAACUCGAGUGCAUGAAGGCGGAAUCGCUAGUAAUCGCGGAUCAGCAUGCCGCGGUGAAUACGUUCCCAGGCCUUGUACACACCGCCCGUCACACCAUGGGAGUUGGAUUCACCCGAAGGUAGUGCGCUAAC